AAGAAGAGCGGUUUUAUGGUGUAAACUUCCCGUUAAAAAGACAUUUACACCACAGAAAAGAAGCGUCGAACAAAUGUAAGGAGUUUAAGCUAGUCUUUGCAGCGAAGUAAAGUCCAGAACAGGCUGUUGUGGAGCAUUUCUAAUUGAGGUUGCGGAGUACACCAUGUUAUUGGGAGUCUGCGGUGCCAGCGCGCUAAGAGACAACCAGGGGGGAAAUUAGGCAUAGCUCAGCGGCAGCAGACUGCAGAGCGGGAGGAAGGGAUGGAGACAAACCAGUCCCGUGUCCUCCAGAUGUCCCCUUCUUCACCCGGACUGAUGCAGCCUCUUGCCUUUUGGAUAGUUUCACUGGAGGCAACCAGAUUGGCAUGAAAUGAGCUCAGUUUGACUCGUUAUACGGUCCAAUCAGAUGAGCGCAGAUUUCAUCUCGGCUGGCCCUGCCCUCCCAGAAUCCGACCCCUCGGAUGAAAUGGACUACAUAUUCAUAGGUUCACUUGCAUGGUUGAUUAUGACGACGAAGAUGGAAGGUACAACCUUUCUUCUGUUGUGCGAGAAUGAAGAUUGGAAAUUGAAUAUGCAUUUCCCCCACUGAUUGAGUAAAAGGACACAAUGACAUGGCACCUA